rnacentral:rRNA from 1 species
UACGAAGGAUUCGAGCGUUAUCCGGAUUUAUUGGGUUUAAAGGGUGCGUAGGUGGAUUAAUAAGUCAGUGGUGAAAGCCCAGAGCUCAACUCUGGAACUGCCAUUGAUACUGUUAAUCUUGAGUACAGUUGAGGUGGGCGGAAUGUGUCAUGUAGCGGUGAAAUGCUUAGAUAUGACACAGAACACCGAUUGCGAAGGCAGCUCACUAAGCUGUAACUGACACUGAGGCACGAAAGCGUGGGGAGCAAACAGG